rnacentral:rRNA from 1 species
GACGAACGCUGGCGGCGUGCUUAACACAUGCAAGUCGAACGGAAAGGCCUGUGCUUGCACGGGUACUCGAGUGGCGAACGGGUGAGUAACACGUGGGUGAUCUGCCCUUCACUUCGGGAUAAGCCUGGGAAACUGGGUCUAAUACUGGAUAGGACCAUCGUUUAGUGUCGGUGGUGGAAAGUUUUUUCGGUGGAGGAUGAGCUCGCGGCCUAUCAGCUUGUUGGUGGGGUAAUGGCCUACCAAGGCGACGACGGGUAGCCGGCCUGAGAGGGUGGACGGCCACAUUGGGACUGAGACACGGCCCAGACUCCUACGGGAGGCAGCAGUGGGGAAUCUUGCACAAUGGGCGGAAGCCUGACGCAGCGACGCCGCGUGAGGGAUGACGGCCUUCGGGUUGUAAACCUCUUUCGCUAGGGAAGAAGCCGCUUUGUGGUGGUGACGGUACCUGGAUAAGAAGCACCGGCUAACUACGUGCCAGCAGCCGCGGUAAUACGUAGGGUGCGAGCGUUGUCCGGAAUUACUGGGCGUAAAGAGCUCGUAGGUGGUUUGUCGCGUCGUCUGUGAAAUCCCGGGGCUUAACUUCGGGCGUGCAGGCGAUACGGGCAAGCUGGAGUGCUGUAGGGGAGACUGGAAUUCCUGGUGUAGCGGUGGAAUGCGCAGAUAUUAGGAAGAACACCGAUGGCGAAGGCAGGUCUCUGGGCAGUAACUGACACUGAGGAGCGAAAGCAUGGGGUAGCGAACAGG